GGGGGUAUACCCGUUCGCCUUCUCUAUCCUACCUAGGUGCUCUUCACCGAGUGUCGAGGUAGGCCGACACGUUUACUUUGAACAAAAUUAGAGUGCUCAAAAGCAGGCUGAAAUCYYYKGCCUGAAUAGKGAUGCAUGGAAUAAUAAAAACAGGACCUUGGUUCUAUUUUUGUUGGUUCUUAGGAACACAAGGUAAUGAUCAAUAUCGGACAGGGCGGGGGGCAUUCGUAUUGCGACGUUAGAGGUGAAAUUCUUGGAUCGUCGCAAGACGCACAAGAGCGAAAGCAUUUUGCCAAGUAUGUCUUGAUUGAUCAAGAACGAAAGUUAGAGGUUCGAAGGCGAUCAGAUACCGCCCUAGUUCUAACCAUAAACGUAUGCCAGCCAGCGAUCCGCCGAUGUUCCUCCGAUGACUCGGCGGGGAGCUUCUUCCCGGGAAACCAAAGCUUUUGGGUUCCGGGGGAAGUAUGGUUGCAAAGCUGAAACUUAAAGGAAUUGACGGAAGGGCACCACCAGGAGUGGAGCCUGCGGCUUAAUUUGACUCAACACGGGAAACCUCACCAGGCCAGGACAUUGGAAGGAUUGACAGAUUGAUAGCUCUUUCUUGAUUCAGUGGGUAGUGGUGCAUGGCCGUUCUUAGUUGGUGGAUCGAUUUGUCUGGUUAAUUCCGAUAACGAACGAGACUCUAGCCUAUUAACUAGGCGUUUUCCGGUGUCCUCGCCACCGGCGACAUUCAUUCUUCUUAAGGGGACAGGCGGCUUUUAGCCGCACGAGAUUGAGCAAUAACAGGUCUGUGAUGCCCUUAGAUGUCCUGGGCCGCACGCGCGCUACACUGAAGGAAUCAGCGUGUGCCUCCCUGGCCGAAAGGCCCGGGUAAUCCGCUGAACCUCCUGCGUGCUAGGAAUUGGGGCUUGCAAUUGUUCCCCAUAAACGAGGAAUUCCCAGUAAGCGCGAGUCAUAAGCUCGCGUUGAUUACGUCCCUGCCCUUUGUACACACCGCCCGUCGCUACUACCGAUUGAAUGAUUUAGUGAGGUCUUCGGACUGGCGGUAAUCCCUA
rnacentral:rRNA from 1 species